AGCGAACGCUGGCGGCAGGCCUAAUACAUGCAAGUCGAGCGCACCUUCGGGUGAGCGGCGGACGGGUGAGUAACGCGUGGGAACGUGCCCUUUGGUACGGGAUAACUGAGGGAAACUUCAGCUAAUACCGUAUGUGCCCUACGGGGGAAAGAUUUAUCGCCAUUGGAGCGGCCCGCGUUGGAUUAGCUAGUUGGUGGGGUAAAGGCUCACCAAGGCUACGAUCCAUAGCUGGUCUGAGAGGAUGAUCAGCCACACUGGGACUGAGACACGGCCCAGACUCCUACGGGAGGCAGCAGUAGGGAAUCUUGCGCAAUGGGCGAAAGCCUGACGCAGCCAUGCCGCGUGAAUGAUGAAGGUCUUAGGAUUGUAAAAUUCUUUCACCGGGGAAGAUAAUGACGGUACCCGGAGAAGAAGCCCCGGCUAACUUCGUGCCAGCAGCCGCGGUAAGAC
rnacentral:rRNA from 1 species